AGGCAACUGCAUGGAACAGAAGUAAAUUAGGGUACACCAUGUUGCUGAGGUGUGAUGUCAGAUGAGACCACAUGAGGAUGGCCUUGGUUUGGGACUGUGUUCCUGAAAGACACAAUGAUAAAUUACUCGUUUGUAUAUAAAUAAAGGCAGCGGAUUCUGGAUGGAAGAA